GAUCCAAGGGCCCAGCCUUUCCUCUGGCCACAGAGCUGCCCGUCAUGCUGGUUGCAGUAGGGAAAACUACUCCGUGUUGGUGGCUGUUCUUUGUUCAUGCAUUCCAGUUAUUGGAAGCUUGCAGGGAGACAAACAAGCAAAUUUACCUUCGGCGGUGCUGAAGGCCACGCCCCGGUCAUCUCGCUCCAGCGUCGGCACCAUUUGCUUGCUUGACAGGGCCUCGAGCUGCCGGCGGUGCCGCAGGACAAAGUCCUGCUCAGUGGCGCAGUAGGGCAUGGACAGCAGGCGCUCCAUCAGCCGGAUGAAGCGAUCGUACUGAAGAAAAGAACAAAAGGGUCAGUCUGCCCAAUGCCACGGACUGCAUGUGAAAAUCCUGAAGAGGGCGCAAGAAAAUAAAUCCACUCCUUACAUCGGGAGUGGAGAUCGUCUCAACCAGCAACGCUUCCAGCUCCUCCUUUGUUAGCCACCUGCUUGUGCCCAGAGAGCUGAUGGAGACAGACCCACACACACUCAGUUACAUUUUCCAGUCCAAAAUCAAAAGUGCUGAGGAAGACUGAUCAGUUUACAGUUAAAAGCUUAUUUCUUGAGAUUUCCCUGGUGUCAAACCUUUGGUGUUUAACAUUCUUUUUUCAUAUUAGCUAAGACAUUUUAACGAUCCAUCCAUCUUUGUCCGCUUGUCGGGUCGCGGGGGGAGCAGCUCCAGCAGACCUUUUAACAUUCAUCAAAACUGACUGUAGUACUAGUGCGUGUGGACUGACAAACAAAACUGCUCUAAACGUCACUAAAAUGCCAGUUUGUAAAAUCUUAA